rnacentral:tRNA from 1 species
CGGCGCGUGGUCAGGCACCGAUGGGCCACCUUGGAGGGGUGGGCGGUGGUCAGCUCCCCCACCGGGUCCGGUUCCAGGUUCCUGAGCUCGUCGA